CUCUCCGCAGUUCGUCUUUCAGGCAGGAUCAUCAAGGUUGCCUGGCAACCACCAGCAGGUUGGCCUCGCACAUGGUUUCCUUAAAGAAAAUGGCAGAGCUCUCUCUCCUGUCACAGUGCAAGCAAGGCCUAAUUAUUGUGAACUGGGAAUCAAUCACGGAGGGCUUGGGAGCCAUGGUGUGGGAUGGUAAAAGGGUGUGAAAAGCUCAGAGGAGGGCCUGGAAUGGGCACUUGGGUGCCGGCGUGAAAAGAGCCACCAUUUCCUAAUUUUACCUCUUGCUGCCUGCGGGAUGGAACCCAGGGCAGGCUUAGCAAGGGGGCACUCCUUUGGCUCGAGUCUGAACUAUGGCUGAUGGAAUGGGCCACCUUUCAUCUGGAGAAGUAUCAUUUCAAGGACCAGAGACAUGGACGUCUUUAAAUAUUUGUCUCCAUUCCUGAGUGGACGCAGGUGGCUCCGCGUGUGGGCUCGGAGUCUCCCCUCCCUGUACCUUGAGUUCGGAGAACUGGCCAUCCUCCAGGCUCCGUCAGCCAAUGGUGGGCAUGUUGUGGACAUCCUCUUCACACACGGUGGGCAUUUCAGCCCAAGGUCUCCUGAAUCCAUGGGUAAGGUUGGAGCCAUAGCGGCUGUGGCCGUGGUUGCUGCUGGGGGCGAUGAACACGGAGUGAGG
rnacentral:lncRNA from 1 species